GAAGUGCUACUUGAACAGUGCAAAAAGACAUAUUCUGAACUACCAGCAAGACCACCUGGAAGAAACUGGCAAUGGAAUAAAAUUUACUUCGAACCACAGACACUUCAGCUUUCCUGAUAGAAUUAGAUAAAUGGUUAUCAUUUUCAUCUAACCUUGAGACAGACUAUGGAAUGCAAGACUGUGACUCCUGCUGAGUAAGUUUCAAACAUAGAAACAGUGGAGGAUUUCUUCUGAGAUCAUGCCAAAGAGGCGAUUACUCCGGCAUGACACCUGGCCCAGGCACAUUUAUCUACAACGGCUGCCUCCCCAAAAAAGACCUUAACAGAUAUACUCCCAAUAACAGUUAUUGAUAUUGACUUUCAUGGAUGAUAUAAGUGGGAGCAGUACACUGAGACGAUCUUCUUUCAGCUGCCCCCUCAACCCCAUCUCUGCAACUCCGCAGGGUCUUAAGUAUGUCCCCCUGGAGCUGUCCUGUAC
rnacentral:lncRNA from 1 species